rnacentral:tRNA from 1 species
CUCUCCACAUGGUCUUUCUCUCCAAAAAGGUUUAGAGCCGUUGAAACUGGAUCCGAGAACGCUGACCGGCGCGACGCCGGGAAGCGG